rnacentral:lncRNA from 13 species
CUGAGGGCUGUUUGCCAGAGACACUCCCAUCAGCUGGGAAAAUAAGUCUUUCACUCCCGAUUGGGGACCUAGGUGGCACAACACAGUUUCCACCAUGGGUGUCACGUUGCUCUUAAUGACAGAGGCUGAGUCAGACAUCAGUAGAGAUGGGGUUUCACCAUGCUGACCAGGAUGGUCUUGAUCUCCUGACUUCAUGAUCCACCCGCCUCAGCCUCCC